GAUGAACGCUGGCGGCGUGCCUAAUACAUGCAAGUCGAGCGAACAGAUAAGGAGCUUGCUCCUUUGAAGUUAGCGGCGGACGGGUGAGUAACACGUGGGUAACCUACCUAUAAGACUGGGAUAACUUCGGGAAACCGGAGCUAAUACCGGAUAACAUUUAGAACCGCAUGGUUCUAAAGUGAAAGAUGGUUUUGCUAUCACUUAUAGAUGGACCCGCGCCGUAUUAGCUAGUUGGUAAGGUAACGGCUUACCAAGGCGACGAUACGUAGCCGACCUGAGAGGGUGAUCGGCCACACUGGAACUGAGACACGGUCCAGACUCCUACGGGAGGGAGCAGUAGGGAAUCUUCCGCAAUGGGCGAAAGCCUGACGGAGCAACGCCGCGUGAGUGAUGAAGUGUUUCGGCUCGUAAAACUCUGUUAUUAGGGAAGAACAAAUGUGUAAGUAACUGUGCACAUCUUGACGGUACCUAAUCAGAAAGCCACGGCUAACUACGUGCCAGCCGCCGCCGUAA
rnacentral:rRNA from 1 species